rnacentral:rRNA from 1 species
GUAAGGAAUAUUGGUCAAUGGACGAAAGUCUGAACCAGCCAUGCCGCGUGGAGGAUGAAGGUCCUCUGGAUUGUAAACUUCUUUUAUCUGGGACGAAAAAAGGGCAUUCUUGCUCACUUGACGGUACCAGAUGAAUAAGCACCGGCUAACUCCGUGCCAGCAGCCGCGGUAAUACGGAGGGUGCAAGCGUUAUCCGGAUUCACUGGGUUUAAAGGGUGCGUAGGUGGGCUGGUAAGUCAGUGGUGAAAUCCCCGAGCUUAACUUGGGAACUGCCAUUGAUACUAUCAAUCUUGAAUACCGUGGAGGUCAGCGGAAUAUGUCAUGUAGCGGUGAAAUGCUUAGAUAUGACAUAGAACACCAAUUGCGAAGGCAGCUGGCUACCCGAAUAUUGACACUGAGGCACGAAAGCGUGGGGAUCAAACAGGAUUAGAAACCCGUGUAGUCC